GAGCCGCCAGCCUGGGCGCGGGCAGCGCCGCCGUCACCCGCCGGCCUCCCGCCCGCAGACCCCAGCCCUCCGCGGCGCCCCUCGCGCCCCCCGACCCCACCUGCCGCGCCUUACCUGCCCCGCCGCUCCUCCAGCUGCGACUCCAGGGCGCCCAGCGCCGCGCUCCUCUCCACCACCUGGAGCCAGAAGAUAGUUCAUCCAGUAGAGUGCACACCUUAUCAUGCACAAGGACUCAGGUUUGAGCCUUCAGCACCAUACAGGAGAGAAGCACCAUCAAGGGGAGAAGCUCCACCAGCAGUAGAGCAGUAGUUUGGGGUCUCUCCUCUCUCUGUGUCUCUACCUCUAUCUCUCACCCUCUAAAAAGAGAGACUGUAGGAAUGGUAAAAUUGUGCAAACUUGAAUUCCGGCAAAAAUAAAUACGA